rnacentral:tmRNA from 1 species
GCAUGUAGUACCGACAGUGGAGAACUGGCGGACGGGGGUUCAAAUCCCCCCGGCUCCACCA